GCUGGUGAGCAAAACGAAAGCCCUAGCAGACCAGGAAUAAAAGGGUGGUGCACAGUCUGGUCCUGGGUAGCCAGCUGGAUUUUAGAAGGAAGGAGUGGAUGACAUCAAUGGCGAGAAAAACGGGUGGGAUUCCACGGCAAAAGAGUUCAGCAGAGCCAACCCUUCGCGCGGGCAAGAUUAUGAAAGGUGAAAUUUCAGUUGCACCAUCACGAAAGAUCCCCAAGAAGAAAACGAGAGGGAGGCAUCUGAGGAAGGCCACACGGGCACCAAGUGGCCACCUACCAGAGCCUGGACACUGCACAGACAGUUUUUCCAGGAGCCUUAUAAUGAAAUGAAAGAAAUCAGAGUCUUAUAUCCAGAAGGGAAUCUUGUUUGAGUGACUCACGUUAUGACCAAGGAAAAUAAAGCCAACGACAGAGGUUUACAACUCCUUUAUCCCACUUUCAAGUAGCAACAAUUCUUCAGUGAAACCCACCGUGAACACCUCCUCUCGAAGCCAAAGACGACGCUCCCAUCCAGCCCUUCUGGGAUUUAAUGGAUUAUCUCCAACUCUUUUAUGGGAGACACAGGACCUCAGGGUCCUUUCAUCUGAAGCUCCUAAAGAUUUGAGCCACAUCUGUCUCUACUUAUUCCGAUAUUGUUUUGAAUUCGUCUUCUCUUGGAAGACACAUGACACUUGCACAGGGACAUCUGGGGACUCGUCACAAUCCCUGGGACAGUCCUGGGCACAGGGGAGCUCUGGCAGCCCUUCUUGUCUGCUUGUAACUGGAGCAAGGGAGGAAAUGAAAAUAAAUGCACGGUCUCCCUCUGGUUGUAAUUAUUAAUGGUCAAUUUGCUAAAAUGGUAUCUGUUUAGAUGACUAAUAAUCACGGCUCUAUUAUUU